GGUAUUUAUGAUGGGUUCAAUGGCCCUGACGCUACUGAUUAUCUUUCCUCGAAUCUGUACUCUGCUGUGCAUAAGGAGCUUAAAGGAUUGUUGUGGGAUGAUAAGUUUGAGUCUGCUAAAAUCUCUGCCCCUGCUUCUUCCCCUGUUCGAUCAGAAGAUAUUAAUUCAAUUGAAAAUACUAAUUCAAGAUUAGAAACUGUGUUGCAAAGUAAUGAAACCGAUAGGAAUUUCGGAAAUGAUGAAUGUUGGCAGUUCUCGGACCAAGAGAAUCAUCCAGGUGCUGGCCAUGAUACGAGUUUCGAUUCCAAUUCCAAGAGAAAAAGGAUUUCCGUGGGGAAGUAUAGAGGUGCUGCCAAGAAAUGGGAGGAGAAUCAGAUGAGAUGGAAGUGUGAAUG
rnacentral:misc_RNA from 1 species